AUGUUGAAUAUAAAAGGGAUG
rnacentral:piRNA from 1 species